rnacentral:lncRNA from 1 species
UCCUAGGAGUGAGGACACUCGGAACCAAUAAUCCUUUGAGGCCUGAUGUAAGCUCAGACAAGUAACUUCACAAAGGACGUCCGUUAUGCCUAACAAACAAUCGUCACAACAGCAGAAGCUAUCUUUCUGUUCGAAGUACCCAGCCAUUAGCUAAGGACUGAACUUUUCCACUGGGUUGGUAGUGUCCGAGAGUUUUUAAUUUUGAACUACUUUUCUCAACCCGAUCGAGCGUCACGAGGUUCCAAAAUUGCACCAGACAGAAACGACAUAUGUGGAAUAUUUGUUGCUCUUGACUAAAACGUCAAGAGAGAGAAAAAACUACUCACGUUCUUUCGUAUUGGAAUUCUCCAACUUGUUAGUAUGGAAUAAUGUGCGAAAUAAAAUACAACAGUAUAGCUUACGAAAAGCUACAACACUGAUUUAAUCUGUCAAUCACAAUGUAACAAUAACAUUUCGAAACAGACAUUUAAAAUAGGAGAAAAUAGGAAUUUUCGUGAUAAAUUAUCGAACAGGAUACAUUAACUCAUUAAAAAAUAUGAAGCAAACACUGACGACGUUCUUUAAUAAACUCCGAUUUGACCUUAUAUAUUAAAUCGGGUUUGUCAAAUCUGACCUUAUCUGCGUAGUAAAUUAAAUCGUAAAGAAAACUUUCGCAGAAGACUUAACAACGUCUUUAUAUACGUGUGUAAUUAUUCCUGUGGUAUACUUCGACAAAAAAAAAGAAUUAUUAAAAAAUUUCUUCAGAUAGAAAUUGAAUUUAAAAAUGAAAACGAUUCUGUGAUGACCCGGUUAGAGCAACAAAUAUAUUUUGUUUUCGGAUGUCGUGACGCCGAAAUGAAACGCAACUAAGAUGCUCAGAUUUCAAAACACAGUUCAUGCUCAGUAGCAAUGGAAACCAUCCGGAUCACGAUUCAUCAGUUAAGAAAUAUAAGCGCAAUAGAUAUAGAAUGAAGAAAAGCUCCAGUGUAAAGCUAGUCUCCAAGACCAGAUCACGUGUCCAAAGUCCGAUAAAAACGCGUGUUGAUGCGAUUCAGACUUAAUUCCGACAAUUCAUUUCAGAAAAGCUGACUUAAUUUGAUAGUCUAGUAGGAGUUUCAGUUACUGUUUUGUUCUUUCAGGCCUUGGAAAGAAUCGCAUAAUCUAUUGGGCUGCUUGCUGAUCUGCAGCUGUGUAGUUGUCGCGCAAAGGCCGGAAGGUCCGGGACUCACGCCCACAUAGGAUCUCUUGCUGUACUGGUAGAAGACAAAAAUAGCGGCCUUAGAAAUCUCAAACUGUGCUGACAGGGUGUGGGUAAUUUCACGUUAUCUAUCACGAACUGUUUUGUUUUUCAUGCUCCUUACAAUGGUUCUUUAGGUUCAUUAACUCAAGUGUGAAUACCAAGAACACCAUGCCUCACAUUAUUCGUAUAAUGAAGACCCGAAGAACGACAGAGACUACAAUGAGAGAAAAUCAAAAAUAGAACUAUAAAGUUUUAACGUGAAGAUGUAUCUUUACUGUUUUGCACUUAAUGAAUUGCCGAUGGUCUAGUGAAAGUGGCAUGCAAGAAAGAAGCAACCGAAAAAGUGACCCAGGGGGUGUAAGAUGUUCCUCCCCCACUUCAUUUUGGAAAGAAUUUUGGUAAAAUAAAUUUUUCCAAAAUCUACACAAGGUCUAUAUGUCAACUUAUGGACUGAUACACUAGAAAGAAGACAGCUAUUCAGCAGGAUCUACCGCCAACUCUUGGGUAUCUCCUUUCAGAUCGAAUAGAGAGAUUUGACCGUUGCUCUCAUAGAGCACCUAUGGUCCAAAAAUGCGGAGCGUAUUUUUGCGACAAUGGGUCGCGAAAUAGGGAGCUAGUAAAACUUAAUUGUCUAUGUGCCGGAAAACAAUGUAAUGCUGACCAGUGGGAACCAGUGUAAUACUGACCAGCGGGUGCA